GGACCCAGCGUUGCCGUGAGCUGUGGUGUGGGUCGCAGAUGUGGCUCGGAUCCCGCGUUGCUGUGGCUUUGGCGUAGGCUGGUGGCUACAGCUCCGAUUCGACCCCUAGCCUGAGAAGCUCCAUAUGCCGCGGGAGCAGCCCUAGAAAAGACAAAAAGACAAAAAGACAAAAAAAAAAAAAUCGCAGUUCAACACCUCCGCCCUCCCCACGCACACGCAGGAUUGGUUCACCCCUCAGCUUGGGCCUCUUACAGAAUAAAAGGGAUUCCAGCUCCUCGCGUGAAUGCCGCGGGGGGGUUGAGUAGAAAAAAAGAAGCCUGCUCCUUCAAGAAGAAGAGUUUCAGGCAAGAAAGGCCUUUCUUGCCGGCGAAGGGAGGAGGGGGUUGGGGCCUCAGCCCAGUUUCAGGGCGGCCUCCGCUGGCCCCAGCCUGACUAAUAAAGUGUGAAAUUGACUUCAUCCUCUGCCGCGUCUCCCCAGCCAGUGUCCCCGCAGCACCUCCGCGGCCUCCACCGAGGCCGCGCUGUCGGCCUCGCUCUGUCACGGCAGACAGGCGGGUCAGCAGCGCCCACGCCGCCCCAGGGCCCAGCGCCGCAGAGCCCACGAGCCUUCUGGCCUCAGGCCAGGAUGGGCUUUCAAAGCUAGAAGCAUCCGAUGUGGCAUGUGUGACGCAGCUUCUAAGUCAGCCGCCGGCCCCUCCUGUCCCUGUUUACUCCUCUGGCGCUGGCGGCGGACGCAUGGGAGGGGGGCAGCGAGGACGGCAUUAGGGGAGACCCCGGAGACCCCUCCCCUCCCCUGCACCAGACGCAGGGCUGGAGAAUCAGAGCACAAGAGACCACGGGGAGCGAGGAAGUCGGGGUGCUCACGGGAGCCCCCGGGGGCCUUAGGGGCUGCCUGGGGGGUGAUGGGAGGCCCCCAGACCCCUCCUUCCACCAGGAUGGCGCUGUUUGGGGAUCCGUUUUAUUUAUUUGCUCAUGUUUAGCAUUUCCUAGGAAGAAGGGAAGGCCGUGACUCUAGGGAGUCCUAAACCAGGCGUUGUCCAGCGGUCCUUCCCAGACCGGCCUGUGCUGCACAUUCAACCGGCGACUUGGUCAAAAGGACAGAUUCCGACGCCUGUGGCUCCAAGUGGCCUUCAGGCCAGCUCUCCUCUCGGUUGCAAGACAGCUGAUGCCCUUCCAGACAUGACAUGUCCAGAAUAAGCUCUCGGUGCGUUCGGCCGUCUGACCGUGGACGCCUCCACUCGGGUGUCGGACCGAAAGUCUGCUGCCCGGGACAGUGUCAGGUCAAGAAUUCUUCCGGCCAAGAGUCCAAAACACAAGAGAAGAAACCGUGGCACCCACGGAGCGUGUGACCUUCCCGGAGUCACGGAAUUCGCUUCUGCAACGUUAACUUCAUUCAAACUGGUGAGCAGCCUCGAGGUGGGCAAUGUGGAGGUUAUUUGCCUAAGGAGGAAUGCGGAGCUCGGAGAACUCCAGCAGCUUGCUCAAGAUCACACAGCAACUUAAUGGCCAAACUGGAACCAAGGGCCAAGACUCAGAACUUCCAGGGCAAUGAAGUUUCCUGCAGAAGAGGUUUCCUCCUUCCCAGGAUCCUAAGACCUGUGUGGAAAGACUCCUGUGUUCCAGCCUGAGCAGGUGUUCGAGUCAUUCUGCUGUUGACUAAAACAUGGCUCCCUAGACCCGGAGUAAAUGAUUCCUGAUUUCCUGGAGUUCUCUUGCGGCGCCGCUGAUUAAGGAUUCAGCAUUGUCACUGCAGCAGCUCUGGUCACUGCUGGGACACAGGUUUGAGCCCUGGCCCAGGAACUUCCACAUACCGCAGGUGCAGCCAAAACCAAGAAACCAAAAAACUUGGAAGGAUUCCUGAUUUCCUAAGGCUUAGAGUCAGCACAGCUCAGGACUGCAGAAGUCACAGGACCUGACGCCAGCAUUUAUCCGUCACUGCUGCGCUCAGCUGCGUGCUGGGCAGUGAGGAAGACGCAGAAAUGAUGGGGCAUCACCUGCUGCCAAAGAGGAGGGGCGCAGUUAGGAUGUGCUCCUGCAGAAGAACGCUCGGCCCGACAAACCUCAAGUGUGUGACGGCUUCCUCUGAGGGCGGCUCGCUGCGGAGCGUCGGGUCAGAUGGCCCCGGUGGGAAAGAUAGAGUUGGAAUACAUGUAAUUCGUGCAAUUAAAAGCCAAGAACGCACCCUUUCCAGAGCUGCGUGUUCCGCGAGCUUGGGGGCUCCGCCCGGGACCCACUGGCACAGGACCUGGCCCUCUGUGGCUGCUCAUCCCAUUGCUGAAUGAGUGCGAGGGCCCAGGAGACAUGUGUGCAGGAUGAAGCAGGGCACUCACGGGACCGCGGCAUUUGGAGGGUGCUGGGGUGGGGGCGAGGGCGCCCUGGGAAGAAGCGGGAGAAGGCACACGCUCCCUGCUGUCCUCCCGGCCCAAGGCUGCCAGCCCCCCCGUGGCCUCUGUGCUCCGUGGUUGAGGGGCCGAGCCUUCUGGAGAGCCAGAGGCGUUUCAGCAUCUCCCUGCUCCCCUCCCCCACUCAGCGCCCCUAGUUUUUGUCCUUCGCAGCCUCUCUUGAAGGCACUAGCUGGGGGCUUGUGCAAACCAGCUGUGCCUGAUUUUCCCCAGAACUGCUUUCUCAGCAAAGGCCAUCUGUGGGAAGAAGCUCCUCCCGUCCAGAGCUGCUAGAACCCUCUGCCGAGGACCAGGCCUGUGGCGGCUGCGGCAGAAGCACAUGGAGGCUCAGGAGGCCAAGUGCUUGGCUCCAGGGACAUCUGGCCACAGACGUGUCUCUCACGUGGGCAAACCGAGGGCACCCCUUGUUGGUAUGUCCUCCUUCCCCUGUGAAAGAUGACAUGAGUGGAGCCAUUUAAAAUAGAGCUGGAGGAGUUGGAGUCGUGGUGCAGUGGAAAUGAGUCUGAUGAGCAUCCAUGAGGACGCAGGUUCGAUCCCUGGCCUCGCCCCGUGGGCUAAGGAUCAGGCAUUGCCGUGAGCUGUGGUGUAGGUUGCGGAUGUGGCUCGGAUUUGGCGUUACUGUGGCUGCGGUGUAGGCCAGCCCCUACAGCUCCGAUUCAACCCCUAGCCUGGGAACCCCCAUAUGCCACGGGUGCGGCCCUAAAAAGCAAAUAAAUAAGUAAAUAAAAAUUAAAAACAAAUAAAAUAAAAUAGAGCAGGAGGAGUUCCCAUCAUGGUGCAGCAGGUUAAGGACCUGGCACUGCCACUGCUGUGGCUCAGGUCACUGCUAUGGCACAGGUUCGGUUCCUGGCCUGGGAAUGUGCACAUGCUACAGGCACGGCCAAAAAAAAAAAAAAAAAAAAAAAAAAA
rnacentral:lncRNA from 1 species